AGGGCGAGACAACACUCAAACACGAAGGGUGACAAGGGGCUCUGUAUCAUCAUCAAGGGAUAAUACCAUCAUUGCAUACAAGAAUCAGCAGAGUAGACAACCAACAUCAGAAAAUGACGUGACAAA